UUAUCAGCUUUUCUUUCUUUGCAGCAUUCUUAACGAAACCAGACUGUCAGUUCCAACUUGUACAGAAGGGUAUCGAUUUUAAAGAUUAAUUGUGUGUUUGAUAAACACUUUGUCUUGAUUUAAGUAGAAAUUGCUCUUACGUAAAACAUUCAAUCUGUAUUGAGUCAUAGGAUAGUUAUAAAAUGGCAAAAGCGAUGAAUUCAUUGAGGAGGAGUGAAGAUCUACCAGUACAGAAUAGCUUCAAUCUUAAUUUGGAAAAUUUGGCACUCAUUUUUCAGUUUAUCGAAGAUAAUCUUGAAGAAGAGGAUUUGCCUUUAAAUGACGAGGAGCUUUCGCAAGAGGAUUGGGAAAUGUCUUAGAAUUUCACUCAUAUGAUAAAUGCCCACGUCAUCUUAAGGUCACUUUAAAUAAAGAAUUUUCACAAAUUAGAA